UACGGAGGGUGCGAGCGUUGUUCGGAAUCACUGGGCGUAAAGGGCGUGUAGGCGGUCCGCUAAGUCUGAUGUGAAAGCCCGGGGCUCACCCCCGGAAGGGCAUUGGAAACUGGCGGACUCGAGUCCCGGAGAGGAAGGUGGAAUUCCUGGUGUAGCGGUGAAAUGCGUAGAUAUCAGGAGGAAUACCGGUGGCGAAGGCGACCUUCUGGACGGUGACUGACGCUGAGACGCGAAAGCGUGGGGAGCAAACAGG
rnacentral:rRNA from 1 species